GGAUCAUGUGACGAAAGACGGCUCCUGGGUCACGUGACCAAUACAGGCGGCAGGUAUGUAAAACUACAUAAGACCAUUCUAACCAAAAAUAUAAUUUACCGGAAAAAUACCUCGGAAAAUUCUAAAUAAAUGAAGCCCGCGGACAAUGCAUAUUUGAAUUGUACCGUAGUUAAGUUGGAGGUACCCUGGCGGUGGUCCAGUUUAGAGAAAAUGACGCGUGGAACUGGGCGGUGAGCUCCUCUGUCAUGGACAAAGGCAAGGCAAGGCAACUUUAUUCAUAUAGCCCUUCUUAUACACGAGGCAGAAUCAAAGUGCUUCACAUAAAAACAUUGUCAUACAAUAACAUGAAAUUAAAUAAAAUGGAUCAAUAAAAGAAAACAAAGGCAAACUAAAUAAAAGCAAACAUAUAAGUCUUCAGUCCUGUUUUUAAAAGUGGUCAGAGUUGGGGCAAGUAAAUCCUCAGGGAGGUUUUCAUUUUAGUACCAUCUCGGUUUUGUCCUCAUUUAGUGGAAGGAAAUUUUGAGAAAGUCUUUGACUUUCUCAAUGCACUGGCACAGCAGAUAUAGGCCUAUGGGCCGAUAGUCAUUUGGUGAUAGCGCUACAUAGAUUUGCGAACAAAGGGUAGCCUAUUUGUGUCUUUUGUGAUUAUGGCCUAGUUACUGCUCUCAGGUCAAGGUCCACGCCGAGAGAUGUGAUAACCGUUGCCAUCGCUGUGGUUGGACUUUUGACCACGUCAAUCGUUUCAGAUUAAACUUUUUAACAUAGGACCGAUCAGAAAUGUUACGCAUGCUACGAAAAUACAAAAGACCAUUAAAAUGACAUAAACAAUCGCAAUCUCAUUAUAUUCAGACAACGACCAUGAACCAGAUUUAGAUUCAACCUGAACUGCUAGAUUAAGAGCUGCUGUUAAUGUUAGAUCAUUAUUUUCCAGUAACAGCCUUUGCCUAAUUAAUUCAUUUUUUGUGUGCAGUAUCAGUUGGUCCCUUAUCAUUUCGUCCUGUAACGCCCCGUACUUGCACAUGGUAGCCAGCAUCCCUAAUUCAGCCGCGAACCUCUCCACUGACUCCCAUGGACGUUGGCGCCUGCGUCGGAAUAUGACGCGACGGAGCAGAACACCUUUAGGAGCGGGGUAAUGUGCUUUCAUGAGCUCCACGGCCUUUGCGAAAGUAGGCGCGGGGCCAAGAGUUCCCAACACGCGCUGUCCCUCCGCUCCCAGACAGUGCAGCAGCAGUGCACGGUACCUCCACUCCGGAACAGUGUCCAGGCCGGCAGCGGUGAUAAACGUUUGGAACAAGAUUGGGACCAGCAUCCAAGGACACCUGGACAACAUCUCUGGGAGUCUCCAGCCAUACCUACUUGCUGUUGGUGCCAAGAAGAGCAUGAUCGAGUCUUACUACAUCGUGAUCGACAAACAUGCUCUACCCUGUAAGACCUCAACUUCAUUGGCUUGUGUUGAUGAACUUUUCAAAGCACAUUUCGUCUUUGGCACAAGAUACUGUCAGGAAUUGACCAAUGUGUACACCUUUCUGCAAACCACUGUCUAUGACAUAGAUGUGGAAAACACCAAGGUAAAUCCUAGAGUUGCAGAGUUGAGGGCCAGGAUGCUGAAGUAAACUCCUAUGAUCUGCUUCAUUUGUCUUUGUCCCGGAAAAACUCUCAGGUUAAAAUGUGCUCAAAGGGGUUGUGCACAUGUAUAUAAUAGUUUUUCUGGAUUACGAAAGCAUCUCACUAAGUGUUCUUUGCGUGACAGUUCAAGUGUUAAUGAAAGUUCAUCUUCAGCAUAGGAGUGGAGAAUGAGAUGCCUGUGUUUCAUGUAGUCCAGAAUAUUGUUGUAAGAGAUUAGUGUUCUUUUUAUAACGACUGCUAUGAAAACUCUUUAUUUAGAGGAACAUGUCCAUGCUUUCAAGGUUAUGCACACCACAGAAGCACCCAUUGUUUUGGAAUUUAAAGACCUUUUGCACCACAAGUCUUCUGAUUUUUUUUAUGUGGUCUUGAUUCAGAUUUGUUUAUAAUCCAUUAUUUUUUCAUGCAAUGCUUUUUGUUUAGAAUGAUGUCAACAGUGUGCAUGUGCACAUAUGGAAUGAUAAUUUUCUAUUGAGAGCAAAUAUUUGGUGCCAAAUAAAAGGACAUGUG
ensembl:lncRNA